rnacentral:rRNA from 1 species
CCAAGGAGUCUAACAUGUACGCGAGUCAUUGAGUACCUGUACCUCAAAGGCGCAAUGAAAUGUGAAGGUCAAUUUAUUUGACUGAGACGUGAUCCGACACUCGAGAGGUGGCGGCGCAACGUCCACCCGUUCAAUGUGGACUUGUCCAUAGAGCGGAGUGAGAGCGUACACGUUGAGUCCCGAAAGAUGAUGACCUAUGCCUGGGCAAGACGAAGCCAGAGGAAACUCUGGUGGAGGUCUGAAGCGAUUCUGACGUGCAAAUCGAUCGUCUGACCUGGGUAUAGGGGCGAAAGACUCAUCGAAUCAUCUAGUAGCUGGUUCCCUCCGAAGUUUCCCUCAGGAUAGCUAGAGCUCGAGUUGCAGUAUCAUCCGGUAAAGCGAAUGAUUAGAGGCAUUGGGGACGAAACGUCCUCAACCUAUUCUCAAACUUUUAAUGGGUGAGAAGCUUGGCUUUCUUAAUUGAAGUCGGGCGCGCUCUAUGAGAGUUCUUAGUGGGCCAUUUUUGGUAAGCAGAACUGGCGCUGUGGGAUGAACCAAACGUCGAGUUAAGGUGCCCGAUGCAAGACGCUCAUGAGAUCCCAUAAAGGGUGUUGGUUGCUUAAGACAGCAGGACGGUGGCCAUGGAAGUCGGA